GUGCCACAAUGCCUAAAGUCACAGCAGCCUUGCUUAUGGCAUCCAGAAUAUUUCAUGCAAAAUUUUAAUUAGUAUAGAUGCUUUGUGCUCCUAUUUAGAGGAUGCAUGUCUAAUAUGUUAAGAAUAACGCUCAGAUUGCAGUAGGUACUGUAACGUACCGGUGGGAUGCUACAGAAAAAUGAUACAGGGAGCUGGACAGACCCUGCACUCAGAAAAAGUUCAUCUGAUGUACCUGUUCUCCUCUUUGUACAAGUGGAAAAUAAAGCUUUAUUUCAUUGCA